CAAAACUAUCCUCACAGUCAGGCCCUCGACCUCCCUCAGUCAUCAAUCUCUCCAGUCUCUCUCUCAUAGGCUCACAAUGUCAUGAAAAUAGCUCGAAAAUGAUGAUAUGAUGUAUCAAUAAAUAACAACAGAGACUGAGAUAUGAUAUGUAGUAAAAUGAAUAUGACUGAGUAUGAAUUUUCAAUUCAAAAUAAAUAAUUCACAGCAAUAUGACCUCUGUGGGUCCCAAUAAUACUGGCAUAUAGCCUCAACAUGAUUUUUAAUAUGAUUCUCAACUCAAUUUCUUUAACACAUAAAACUACAUAAAAAAUGCCAAGAUUAUUUGACUAAAAAAUUUCACGGAACCAAUUACAUCAUAAUUUCUAUAGUGCACGCCCACACGCCCAUCACCUAGCAUGUGCGUCACCUCCAAACAAUUCACAUAAUACGUAUAUUCAGGAUUCAUACCCUCAGCUCCAAGAUUAGAAGAGUUACUUACCUCGAACAAGACGAAUCCAUUGUCGAGCAAGCUAAACAAUGCUCCAGAAAUCCCAUUCUGCACGUAUCAACUUCUGAACGGCUCGAAUCUAGCCGCAAUUAAUUCGAAUCAGUCAAUACCAAUUAUUGUAAUCAAUUCCAUAAGGAAAUACUAAUUUUUCAAUAAAAAUCCGAAAUUAACUCAAACAUCUCCCGUGCGUCCCACAUCUCGGAUCCCGACAAAAGUUACAAAUUAUGAACGCUCAUUCAACCACGAGUCCAACCAUACCAAUUUUAUCAAACUCCGACAUCAACUCAACCCUCAAAUCUUCAAAUUAAAGUCUAUGAAAUUUUCUAUCUUUUCAACCCAAAACACUUAUAUGUUGAAACAAAAACAAUAGAUUCGUAUAAUUUCACCAAAAUUGAGUUAGAAUCACUUACCCCAAUCCAUAUGGUGAAAAUCAUCUUAAAAAUCGCUUCAAUCCGAACUCCAUAGCUCCAAAUGUGUUAAAAUGGCCAAAACCUAAAACAUUUAGCUUUUGUCCAUGCAUUUACUGUUCGCGAUCACGGAAAAUGCUUCGCGAUCGCGAAGCACAAAAAUUUCCAGCCCAAGAUUUUCCUUUUGCGAUCGCAGAAAACCACUCGCGAUCGCGAAGAACAAACUCCCCAACUCUUCCAGACAGCCUCUAGUAUAAUGAUCAUAACAUUUUGUACAUAACUCCAAAUAACAAAUGGUUUGACUUUAUGAGAACUAGACAUCAAUGGCUACAACUUUUAUUUUUGGAUCAUCUCCAAAUUCCUUAUAGAUUGCGAGAUAUAAG
rnacentral:lncRNA from 1 species